rnacentral:rRNA from 1 species
GUCUAAAGGGUCCGUAGCCGGUUUAAUCAGUCUUCUGGGAAAUCUAAUCGCUUAACUAUUAGGCUUCCAGGGGAUACUGUUAGACUUGGGACCGGGAGAGGUAAGAGGUACUGCAGGGGUAGGAGUGAAAUCUUGUAAUCCCUGUGAGACCACCAGUGGCGAAGGCGUCUUACCAGAACGGGUCCGACGGUGAGGGACGAAAGCUGGGGGCACGAACCGGAUUAGAUACCCGGGUAGUCCCAGCUGUAAACGAUGCUCGUUAGGUGUCAGGAACGGUGCGACUGUUUCUGGUGCCGAAGGGAAGCCGUGAAACGAGCCACCUGGGAAGUACGGCCGCAAGGCUGAAACUUAAAGGAAUUGGCGGGGGGGCACUACAACGGGUGGAGCCUGCGGUUUAAUUGGACUCAACGCCGGAAAACUCACCGGGGGCGACAGCAAUAUGUAGGUCAGGUUAAAGGUCUUACCUGAAUCGCUGAGAGGAGGUGCAUGGCCGUCGUCAGUUCGUACUGUGAAGCAUCCUGUUAAGUCAGGCAACGAGCAAGACCCGUGCCCACUGUUACCAGCAUAUCCUUUAUGGAUGAUGGGGACUCUGUGGGGACCGCUGCUGCUAAAGCAGAGGAAGGUGCGGGCUACGGUAGGUCAGUAUGCCCCGAAUCUCCCGGGCUACACGCGGGCUACAAUGGUUGGGACAAUGGGUAUCUACUCCGAAAGGAGUUGGCAAUCUCUUAAACCCAAUCGUAGUUCGAAUUGAGGGCUGUAACUCGCCCUCAUGAAGCUGGAAUCCGUAGUAAUCGCGUUUCAACAUAGCGC